rnacentral:rRNA from 1 species
UACGGAGGAUCCAAGCGUUAUCCGGAAUCAUUGGGUUUAAAGGGUCCGUAGGCGGCUCAGUAAGUCAGUGGUGAAAUCUCCCGGCUCAACCGGGAAAUGGCCAUUGAUACUGUUGGGCUUGAAUUAUUAGGAAGUAACUAGAAUAUGUAGUGUAGCGGUGAAAUGCUUAGAGAUUACAUGGAAUACCAAUUGCGAAGGCAGGUUACUAACAAUAUAUUGACGCUGAUGGACGAAAGCGUGGGGAGCGAACAGG